AGACGGGAGAGAACUCCAAAAGCUCAGUGGUAACAGAGGAAGGAAGUGGGAAGUAAAAGGACAGGAAGAUGGAGUGGGUGUUGUAGGAGGAGGAAGAAGAAGAAGAAGAAGAAGAAGAAGGAGAAGAGAGAAGAUUAGUUCCCGAAAGGGGCCUCCUUUCCCUCUGUUUCCUCCUCUUUCCGGUCCCCCUCCUCCUCUUCAUUCCCUCCAUACCGUUCCGUGAGUCUCCAUCUCUCCUUUCAGAUCUCCAUCCCUCCCAAUUUUCCUUGCCUCAGAAAAGAAGAGGCUUUGUUUUUCUUUUGCUCUCGAAAAAAAUCUGAGCGAUUCAGAAAAGGUGGGAUUUUUUCCUUCUGUUUCCCGAUCGCACGGGAGGGGAUCCGAAGGAGAUAGGUGCGGCGGCGAGUAAAGCGGGAAUCUUUUACCCGAUUUCUUCGUGCCCGCGGGCUAAUUCUCGUGGUGGGAUUCUCUGUUCUGAGGCUUUGGGUUUGGCCUUGGAGUUAUGUUGGAGGGGCGCUCCUAUUUGAUAUCGAGGGUGUUCAGAAGCUCCUGUGAGCAAGAAUCCGAUUGGCAUUGCAUGGAUUACCAUAUCCACGAGUCAUCGGACAACAAGAAGCGUCCGCUGGACGAGGAAUUUGAAGAACAACAGCUAGAAGACCGGGUCAAGAGGAAUAAAUCGCCGCAGCUCCCUGAUACCCCUGACAUCAAGGAUAUGCAGUUGCUUCUUGACAAUUCGUAUCACCGUGGCCGGGAGCAUGGUGAUUCAAGCAUUGUCAGUCAGCUUGGCGGGGAACUGAUAGUCAGCUGCCUUCUUCGCCUUUCUCGGUCCGAUUACGGUGCCGUCGCAUCGCUCAACCGGAUGUUCCGCUCUUUGAUCCGCAGUGGGGAGCUCUACCAGCUGCGCCGCAAGAUGGAUAUCGUCGAGCACUGGGUCUACUUCUCCUGCAGCGUCCUCGAAUGGGAGGCUUAUGAUCCAUACCGUGGGCGCUGGAUCACGGUUCCUAAAAUGCCCCCCACCGAGAGCUUCAUGUGCUCCGAUAAGGAGUCCCUCGCAGUGGGCACCGAGCUCCUUGUUUUUGGAAAGGAGGUGAAUUCCCAUAUCAUACUGAGAUAUAGCAUUUUGACUAACUCCUGGUCUCGUGGUGUGGUUAUGAACUCGCCUAGGUGCUUGUUUGGAUCCGCUAGCCUCGGAGAGAAGGCCAUUGUAGCCGGAGGAACCAAUGCUCAGGGUGAUAUACUGAACUCUGCAGAGCUUUACAAUUCCCAAACACAGACCUGGGAGACCUUACCUUGUAUGAACCAAGCAAGAAAGAUGUGCUCGGGGGUAUUCAUGGAUGAAAAAUUUUAUGUCAUUGGUGGAAUGGCUAGCAACACAAAGGUACUGACAUGUGGGGAAGAGUAUGAUCUGAAGCGAGGUUCUUGGAGUGUGAUCCCUAACAUGUCUGAUGGACUUAACGGUGCGAAUGGUGCACCUCCACUUGUUGCUGUGGUGAACAAUGAGCUUUAUGCAGCUCACUAUGCUGAUAAGGAGUUGAGGAAGUAUGAUAAGGUGAAACAUACAUGGGUCAGAUUGGGAAGCUUGCCCGAAAGCUCUGUCUCAAUGAAUGGUUGGGGGCUUGCAUUCCGUGCCUGCGGUGAACGGCUAAUAGUGAUUGGUGGAAGGAGAGGUUCUCUUGGAGGGAUGAUUGAGCUCAAUUCGUGGAUUCCAAAUAGGGGGCCACCAGAAUGGAACAUGAUUGCAAGCAAGCAUUCAGGCAACUUUGUUUAUAAUUGUGCUGUGAUGGGCUGCUGAUUGAUCUGAUUUUUUUAGACCUGUAUUUUACUUCCCCUGGAUGGAUGCUCAGCGUCAGCUUGUUAGUGGGCUCAAAGUAUAAAUUCUGCCUAAUGGGUGAUAACUGGCUUUCCUGAAUUCCAUUUAGACUGAAAAUUCAGUAGAGGUCUCUUGUCUGUGUAACUCAGAGUUCCAUUAUUUGUUGCUCCUCUCACCCCUUCAUUUAUUUUGCAUUUGGAGCCCCAUCAACAAUUACUCUUAUAUGGCAUCUUGCAGGACGAUUUUUUUGGUCAAUAAGUUCAAUCUUUGAAAUAAUUUGAACUCUUGAUGAGCAGUAGCUUUAUGUGGUUCAAAGGGACCCUUUCUAUUCCACUCCUGAAUGCACUGAUGGAAGUUUGAUUACCUUGCAAGCACAAUGUGAGACUUUAAAGGGAUGGUGGACAAGUAGCCUGCUAGAUAUGCUCAGUUGACCGAGGUAAUACUUUAAAAUUUGUUUAUCACAUCUAGCGAGCAUUGUUCGAUGGGAGAAUAUUGCAUCUAGUGUUUCUACUGUUUGUCUGAGAUACCUUGGUUAUUUUUGCAUCAUUAUCUUCAGGUAGUCAUCAAAUUGUUCUAGAACUUUUUUUCUGCCAAAUCAAAGACCAAGGAAAUCUUUUGAAGAUCUAGUAAGCUGUGCAAUGCAGCAGACACCUUGUUUUUAUGAAUGAAUCUGGGAUUUUAUUUUUUCACUUACAGAAAAAAUACAGCAAUUUGUUUGUGCCGUUGGAUGAAAAUGGCUGUUGUACAUACCGUAGACCCUGUGGUGCUUAAGUUCACCUUUUAUCUUCCUGCAUUUCUUUCUUCAUGUAUACCAUUUAUAUCUAUUACUGACUUCCACAAAAAAUGGGGAGCAAUUUGUCUUGUUUCAACUCUCUCACUGAUUUUACAUGGUUGACUUUUACUUGUUUUGAAGGAAGAGAUUACCCAAUUUCUCCUGAUCUCUGGCUGCUCAUAUUUAGAUUCAAACGUACUUAUGUACUUAUGUAUCACUUUCUUCUGCCUCUUUUACCCAAUUUCUCCUAAUUUUGUUUAUGAUAUUCCUCUUGCUAUCAAAACCAUCAUAAUAUCUUCACCUCAGCUUCUUGCAUUCGGUAGUUAGCUUUACUCUGGAGUAUCCUCAAAUGAAAAUUGUGACUUUGUGUGAUAAAUUGUUAAUGAUAGCAUUGCAUGCUUACAGUUAUUAGCGAAUGAACUAGCAAGGUUCGAUUUUUUGAUAGGUUAUUGAUAUAUUGGAUUGCACAUUUUUGACAAUCUGAAAUUUACAAGAGAUACUUGAGCACUAGACAUAUGUAGUGAAGCCUAUGCACUCCACUGAUCAUGCACAUUUUUCCUUGAUUGAUUCAUAUCUGAUUUCUACUCUUCAGAAGGACCCUAAAUCUACCCAGGAAUUAGCAGUUUUAUCAUUUUUAUUGUGGCCAUUGGAGCACUCAAGGCCAAAUAUUCAGGGAAAUCAUGACUUGUUAUUAUAACCCAACAAGGGAAAGAUUCAUAUUUGUUAAAUACUCUAGGUAACUCCUGUGAUUGACUUUCCCUAAUCUUGAACUGGUAGCGCAAGCUCUACUUAUAGUAAGAACUACUGAAGAAUUUAGUAUUUUAGGAUGUCUAGCCUCUCGGAGGAUAAACACAAACAUUUGACAACAAUUAUAGAUAUCCUAUAGUCUGUAAAAUUAGUGAAACUCUGAUAUGAUUCACAAAUGUCAUACAAUUAUUGCCAUAGCUCAAGGAUUAUGAAUUAUAUGCAGAUUUUUUUUACAUCAAGAAACAUCAGUUUUGUGCCUAGAUAUAUAUGGUACUUGAUGUGAUUUUUGACUAAGGCAUCUCGAGGCAUAUUUGUCCACUAGGCAGUCAACUAGGAACCAAGGUAAUUGCCCGUACCAACAAUGAUAAUAACACAGCAUAGAAUUAAUUGUCUCUGUAAAUGUUGAGGUUCUGUUUAAUAUCCUGUACUGAUUCAGGUUUUUUACAUAAUUAAGGAUGUGUUGCCGUCAGCUUGAUUUUUUUUCUUGUCCGGUGCUUAACUACAGUAGAUACAACCACAAUGUAAGGCAUAUCAUGAUUUUAGUUGAUCAAGAUUAUUAGUCUUUUUCUUUUUUGGUAUAGAAAAAUUAAAUUGGAACUAGUUGCCAAUGAUUCUUAUUUUGCAGAAACUUAUUGGAGGAUUUUUUUUAUACUUUCUUUUGUUGGAUAUGAAAUAUCAUGGUAUGUUUACAUCUCUUUUACGAUCUGACACGGAACUGGUGGACUAGUUUACGUUGGAUUGACAUUGUGUAAGUGAAUUUAAAGAAGAAAAAUCGAGAAUAGGACCAGUCAGAUCCAUGAAACUUGUCAGUCUACUGUGUUUUUACAAAUUUAUCUUCCAGUUGAUUAUGCAGUCAAAAUCUGUCGAAAAGGUCAUUUUCUCAUGCACCUGACUUAUCAGAGAGAUUUUGGCUUUUACAUAUAAGAGAGCAACCAAAGUAGAAUCAAAUACUUCUCGGUAAGGAGUUUAGAAGGUGACAAAUGUAAUGCUAUAAAAUUCUGUGGGGAAGAUGCCAUCAAUGAAGACUCUGUUCCCUUGAAGAAUCUUGAUUAUGUUGACAUCUGUUGCUUCAAGUAAAUCUAGCGCCAGAUUCUGACUUGAAUUGGUAAUGCAUCUGCAAGGCAAAACAGUAGUUUCUUUCUUCUGAAAUGCCGGUUUCUUUGGUUUAUUAUCUACACAACUUUGAAAUGCUACUUCUUUUGUAUAAUGCUAUCAAAAACUCAGAGAGGCCUUCUUCCUCAAGAAAUCAGAAGAUACAGCAGCUUUAUUGCUUGUUUUAAGCUUGUCCACUUACUUGCUUAGUGAAUUGGCAUGAAAGUUUGUGUUUCUUCAAGCUGCUCAAAAUAUAAUAAUGGAGUUUUAGCAGCAGAGAAGCAAGACUAGUGACAUUGACAGAUUAAGUUGCACUGAUAUGUCUCUUGUGGCCUUCUUCUUGCCUUCAUUUGCCAGCCAUGAAUCCAGUCUCAUCUGCUCCAGGGCAUUGUAGACAGGCAUUGCAACAGAGCAGCUUGCUUUGUGUAGUUUGCUUGUGCCACUGUCGAAAGUAAUUUUCCCUGCACACUGCUGCCAAUCAUGUAAUGCCGCCUACAUGACUUGAUCAGCCAAAUCAAACUCACAAGUUCUCAUCAAUUCUUCUUCUUCUUCUUCUACCCAAGUAUACUUAUUGUCCAUUACUUUGGUGUGCAGUCAUCUGUUUGUUUUUCACAUACAAAGCUCAGCAGAUCACCACAAGCUUCUUAUCCUAAAGCUACAGGAGAUGACACGGGGGAGGGGAGAGGGAGUACGAUGGCAUAUCAUCUCCGUUAUUGCGGUACCGGACGCACCGCAGUGCUCGGGAUUGGCUGUCACAGGCGGGGCCACCGUCAUGAAGUACAACCUGGCUCAACCCAACCGAUCUGAGCCCUCCGAUUCCAUGAUGAGGUGCUUUAAAAGUACAACUGCUGCAUGCAUGCAGUACGCUGAUGUCUGAUGGUGGCUUUUCCAUGCACUUGUUGUGGGUAAGUCGCUUUGUUGGUACACUGCCGCAACCUUUUCUCUGCUUCUGUAGGAGGAAAGAACAUCAUGAAGUAUCACUUUACCUAUUCUCCCUUGUAGUUUAUGCAUCGAUAAUUUGCAUGAAAUCUACUUCUUCA